UCUCAGGAGAAUGGUUGCAACCCACCAAUAAGCAAACAGUGACAGCAUUUCAAUAGAAUAAUACUGCUGAAUUUCAUAUUAAUAACUCUAUUGAACUCAUUAACAAUUCUUUAUGCAUAUGUAUUGUGUAUACAAUAGCAGAAGUGUUCAUGCUCUCUAGCAUUGCUAAACAAUAACUACCUUCACUUGAGAAUUAAGAGAUACAAUGACUUUGAUAAUUCGGCAAUUGGUAAUCUGUGAGUACAGUAAUUAAAGUUUACGCCAGGCAGUCGAAUGCUUCAUUUUGGGUUUCAAUAAUGACGAGGAUGGGACACUGAAGCACGCUGCUGUUUUCAAUUACAAACGUCUUCCAAGACCUUCUCUACCACAUAAGAUGUUGUGUUCCACACACUCACAAAGUUUCCUGGACCUGAUAUACUCAUCAUGUGACCUUCUAGAGGUGAGUAACACAGUUUCUUGACAGCCCCUAUAGAGUCGUCUAGUAUCAUUGCACAUGCGCCAGUCUCUGUCUGCCAUAUUCUAAUUGUUGUGUCGUGGGAAGCGCUCGCUAAAUAAUGACCGUCGGGAGAAAAUUUUACAUCGUUAACGGCAUCGCGAUGUCCGAUAAGCGAUGUAAUUUUUGAUCCGUCCACAAAGGCACCGGUUCCCGGUAAAAAUUUUAUUAUUCGUAUUGUUUUGUCGUCUGAGCAUGUUGCUAAGUGCUGACCAGAUGACGAUAUUGCGCAUGCGUUGACAGCUGCAGAAUGAAUUGC